AAAUUUGGUUGACAUAUAAAUCACAAAGGGGUGCGCUUGUGCAGAAACGGAAAUUUAUUUUAAAUUGUUGCUUUUCCCUUCGCCUCUUGAAGCCUAUAAAAUAAAACGUAACAUUCCACCAGAUUGGAGUGUUGAGAUCUCUCCCCUCAGACAGACGGACAGAAUUGUCGCUAAUGCUGGUGGAAUUUACAAUAAACAAUGCCAACUGCCAAAUUAAAAAUUUUGUGCAAUUACAAAGCAUGGGUGAAAUAAUUUUGAAGAAUGUUUUUGUACGUAGAGGAUUUUUCAACGACAUAUAGCUCUACUAAUAAUCGUAGUACGAAAAUUCUUUCAAGAUCGACAUAAUAAACAAAACGAUGAUUGAUCAAUAUGGCAUGGCGUAGGUAUAGAAGACAUAAUGAAACAGAAGAAUUCCAAAGACGGAAGUUUUGUACUGUUUGGGAUGCACCUUGUAAAAAAACGGAAUAGAUGAAGUGUUCACAAUAGUCAAUGGGAGUGUCUCAGAAAAGUAAUUGAAACCGAAAAAUAUUUGGCAACAACUGAAAUACUCACUUUUUUCAAACAAAUUUGGGAAUGUCUACUACCUACUUCAUACCGGGGCGAUAACAUAAAACCUGAAGCUAUCAACUUUAAUGGGAAUGAACCAAUUUAAAGCUAAUAAAAUCACUUACUACUUCUCAACUAAAUUUCAGGCGGUUGAGCAACGCUAUAGGAUACAUAUGUAUUAAAUAAAUAACAUUCUUUCACACAAAUAUAAUUGUAGUCGUAAAUUUAAUUUAGACUCAACUGAAUGUCAAACGAAAAUUUAUGUGCGAUUUGCUUUUU